AACGCACCUUGCGCUCCUUGGUAUUCCUUGGAGCAUGCCUGUUUGAGUGUCUUGAAUAUCUCCUCUCAUCCAUUUUUUUAAUUAAAGAUGUGGUCGAGAGGGUGCUUGGGCUUGCAUGGUAUUACUCCUUAUGCUUGCCUUAAAUGCAUUAGCUGGAUUUCAGUAGAGUUGUUAAGUAACAUUGAAAACUCUUGUGAUCGAAAUCUGCUUCUAAUCCAUCUUGAGCAAUCGAGAUAUAUAUUUCAACUUUGGCCUCAAAUCAGGUAGGACUACCCGCUGAACUUAA
rnacentral:misc_RNA from 1 species